CCUACGGGAGGCAGCAGUGGGGAAUAUUGCACAAUGGGGGAAACCCUGAUGCAGCCAUGCCGCGUGUGUGAAGAAGGCCUUCGGGUUGUAAAGCACUUUCAGUCGUGAGGAAAGGUUAGUAGUUAAUACCUGCUAGCUGUGACGUUAGCGACAGAAGAAGCACCGGCUAACUCCGUGCCAGCAGCCGCGGUAAU
rnacentral:rRNA from 1 species